rnacentral:rRNA from 1 species
UGAGUACGAGCUGCUACGGCAGCGAAGUGGGUGAUGUCAAGCUUCCAAGAAAAGCCCUGUACCCGUUAAGGCAUGACGGCCUGUACCCGAAACCGACACAGGUGGGGUGGUAGAGAAUACCGAGGGGCGCGAGAUAACUCUCUCUAAGGAACUCGGCAAAAUGGCCCCGUAACUUCGGGAGAAGGGGUGCCACCGCAAGGUGGUCGCAGUGAAGAGGCCCAGGCGACUGUUUACCAAAAACACAGGUCUCCGCUAAGUCGCAAGACGAUGUAUGGGGGCUGACGCCUGCCCAGUGCCGGAAGGUUAAGGAAGCUGGUCAGCGCAAGCGAAGCUGGCGACUGAAGCCCCGGUGAACGGCGGCCGUAACUAUAACGGUCCUAAGGUAGCGAAAUUCCUUGUCGGGUAAGUUCCGACCCGCACGAAAGGCGUAACGAUCUGGGCGCUGUCUCGGAGAGGGGCUCGGCGAAAUAGAAUUGUCUGUGAAGAUGCGGACUACGUGCAACCGGACAGAAAGACCCUAUGAAGCUUUACUGUAGCUUGGUAUUGUGCCCGGGCUCUGAAUGCGCAGGAUAGGUGGGAGGCUUUGAUCCAUUGCUUGCGGGUGAUGGUGAGCCAACGGUGAGAUACCACUCUUUCAGAGCUAGGGUUCUAACGGUCACCCGUUAUCCGGGGACCGGACAGUAUCAGGUGGGCAGUUUGACUGGGGCGGUCGCCUCCUAAAAGGUAACGGAGGCGCGCAAAGGUUCCCUCAGGCUGGUUGGAAAUCAGCCGACGAGUGUAAAGGCAGAAGGGAGCUUGACUGUGAGACCUACAAGUCGAACAGGGACGAAAGUCGGCCUUAGUGAUCCGACGGUUCUGAGUGGAAGGGCCGUCGCUCAACGGAUAAAAGUUACUCUAAGGAUAACAGGCUGAUCUCCCCCAAGAGUUCACAUCGACGGGGAGGUUUGGCACCUCGAUGUCGGCUCAUCGCAACCUGGGGCUGAAGUCGGUCCCAAGGGUUGGGCUGUUCGCCCAUUAAAGCGGUACGCGAGCUGGGUUCAGAACGUCGUGGGACAGUUCGGUCCAUAUCCGGUGCAUGCGCAGGAACAUUGAGAGGAUUUCUCCCUAGUACGAGAGGACCGGGAGGAACGCACCUCUGGUGUACCAGUUAUCGUGCCAACGGUAAACGCUGGGUAGCCAUGUGCGGAGCGGAUAACCGCUGAAAGCAUCUAAGUGGGAAGCCCACCUCAAGAUGAGUGUUCCCAUGGCAUAAGCCAGUAAGGUCACGGGAAGAACACCCGUUGAUAGGCUCUACGUGGAAGCGUGGCAACACGUGAAGCGGAGGAGUACUAAUAGACCGAGGGCUUGACC